UUUAUGGAGAGUUUGAUCCUGGCUCAGGAUGAACGCUGGCGGCGUGCCUAAUACAUGCAAGUCGAGCGAACAGACGAGGAGCUUGCUCCUCUGAUGUUAGCGGCGGACGGGUGAGUAACACGUGGAUAACCUACCUAUAAGACUGGGAUAACUUCGGGAAACCGGAGCUAAUACCGGAUAACAUGUUAAACCGCAUGGUUCAACAGUGAAAGACGGUCUUGCUGUCACUUAUAGAUGGAUCCGCGCCGCAUUAGCUAGUUGGUAAGGUAACGGCUUACCAAGGCAACGAUGCGUAGCCGACCUGAGAGGGUGAUC
rnacentral:rRNA from 1 species